UCGGAUAUGGUGUAAUGGCUAACAUUACCGCCUCUCAUUAAUUAAGUGCUCGCGGUAGCUCGGGGUUCGAUUCCCCGUAUCCGAA